UACGUAGGUUGCGAGCGUUAAUCGGAAUUACUGGGCGUAAAGCGUGCGCAGGCGGCUUUGCAAGACAGAUGUGAAAUCCCCGGGCUCAACCUGGGAACUGCAUUUGUGACUGCAAGGCUAGAGUACGGCAGAGGGGGAUGGAAUUCCGCGUGUAGCAGUGAAAUGCGUAGAUAUGCGGAGGAACACCAAUGGCGAAGGCAAUCCCCUGGGCCUGUACUGACGCUCAUGCACGAAAGCGUGGGGAGCAAACAGG
rnacentral:rRNA from 1 species